AGUGACAAAAAAAGUUAAGACUAGUAAAUUGUUGAGUCUACCCGAAGGCAGAUCCCUCCAAAAAUAGGCGUAUGCCACUUAGCGUGGAGAGCACACGGUAUUCUUUAGUAAAAGGCGAAAGAAUAGUUCGCUUUGUGCUCACUACAUGGCUGCGUG
rnacentral:sRNA from 1 species